CCUAGAUGUCAGACUAGUAUUUUAUUUUAUUUAUUCAUUUUUGUUUAUUUUUUUCAUAAUGUUAUGAAAGAAAAACUUCGUAAAACAUGGUGUACAUUGCAGUAAUCUUGUGUAGAACAGAACAGGAGGAAACACUUGCAAGAUUCACAUCAUUCCAAAUGAAGAUGUUGGAGGUUUUGUUAUUCCUUUGAAUAUUGCAUAGUUGUCAGGCUUUUUUUUUUUUUUUUUUUUACACACUAUUUUAUGCAAAUUUUCUAUUUGUCAGAUGCUGAGCUUCAACACAGUAACACUGCUGAGCACAAAAGGACAACUUUUGUAGUCGCUAAUUGUGCAAACAUCCAGUCUUGGCUAACAUCCCUAUACGCUCUUCUCAGUAUGCUUUCAGCUAGUCAUACCAGGAAUGAUAUUAUACAGCUGUAUGUCAGGGAAGAACAUCUUGAACUCAUGUUUUUUUGGGUUUAUCAUGCAGUGUAGUAACUGUUCCUGUUGGUCGGUUGUGGAUUAAUGCACUUCAUUCCUCACAUGAAGAGACAAUCCUCCCACGUUUAGUUCACUCCUAGAAUACAGUUGUCUUUAUAAUGCAGGACUGUGGGUCAGAGGUCUGGAUAUUGUUGUAGUGGCCAAAGCCGGAAAUGUUUGUCAGGCUCCCACUAUUUUAGCCAGCGUCUUUUUUUUUUUUUUUUUUUUUAUAAACAUUUCUCUGUGAUUUAUUUACUCUGAUGUGCUCAUUGAUUGCUUAGUCAACCAAGGUAAUUGUAACUUUGUCAGCAGAAUUCAAAAUUUUCUUGUACCAGAGCCAGGAAAUAGUUCUAGAAAAGCUUCCUCCAAAAUCCCAGCAACUGUAGAUAAUACUGACACUGUUCUAUAUGUUGUAAGUUGACAGAAAUACAUGUAUUUAUCGUUCAGUUCUCUAUUCUUUCUGUAUGCUACUACAGCCUCAAUGUCAACUAAAAAUGAUGUUAAAGGCAUAGUUUGGUUUCUUUGAAAUGGAGUUUUAUGAGGUACUUAUCCAUAACCAGUGUAUUCCCUGCAGUAGAUGGUGGUGGGCAAGUCCCCAGUUUGAAGAAGCAGAGAGAAAUGUUGG
ensembl:lncRNA